rnacentral:lncRNA from 1 species
GAUUUCUCAACCACAAUCUUGUCAGAAACCGAAACAUCCGCGAUCAUACGAGCAGCACUCUCCCAAUAAGUGAGAUCUGCAGCUUUCCCAGCUCCAAGACCAGUUGUCUUAGUCGGUGUGUUGACAGAGACAAAGACAAUAUCAGCUUCCCUAACAUGUUUCUCCACAUCAGUACUGAAGAAAAGGUUCUUCCCUCUGCACUGCUUAACAAUAUCUUCAAGACCUGGCUCGUAAAUCGGAAGCUGAUCACUGUUCCAAGCAUUAAUCCUAGGAACAGAGAUAUCAACAACUGCU